GGAUCAUCUGAUGAGAAAACUGCAACAAAAUGACAUCUCAUGAUUUGUUGUAUUUAAGUCUGAUGAUC
rnacentral:snoRNA from 1 species